CCCUGAGCUGCCUCCCUGCAGACGCCAUACCUGCCGUGGCUGCUUGUUUGCUGAGUAGCCUCUCCCACUGAACCCUGGGCAACUUGAGAUAAAUGAAGAUUCUGAGGCCAAAGGAGAAUUGCAGGGAAGAUAAAUCCUGAAAACUUUUCAAACAUUUCAGAAUGCACACUCCCUUUGAAGAGUAAAAAAGGAUAUUUGUCGCCCUGGCUUGUCCCCAGACCUUCGGUGGAGGGGGUGGAAGCGGUUCCUGGAUGGCCUCUCCACCAGCCCGUGAUGGCGGGUUCCCCGAACAUUAUCAGCUUGGUGAAAUGACGGCUGCAGAGAGAAGGGAAGAAGAGUUGGCCUCCAACCAUGAAAUUGACACUCACCCUCAAGAACAACUGAUAACAACAGGAGAUGAAAGGACCGAUUUUACAGUUUUACUUAUUAUACAUUAGUGGGCCUUGGGUCAAGGUAAAUAAAGUAGUAUAUGGAACUAUUUCUUUAUAAUAACCAUAAAAUAAUGACAAAUAAUCUGUAGUGUGUUAAGAGGAAAGCUGAAAGAAUAAUAAAAGUUGUCAUGCAAUUGGGGGAGGAGAAUCAGAAGACGGU